GUUUUUGUCCCGAUUUUAUUGUACUUAACAACUAACUUCAGUCAUUUGGUUGAUGAUUUGCAGAAGAACAAUAAAGAAUUUAUGAAACAGGUGACACAGAAACCAUUUUUGUCAUGUGCUACAGGAUUUCUUGUAGCAACAAAGCAUGGAUCUUAGUGGAAGUCUGGAACCGCUCGAAGGCUGCAAUGAUAUUUUAUUUAUUCAAUUUACCUAUUUUUGUAGUUGCACUCUUCUACUCCCAAACAUGUCGGUGAUUUGUCUAAAUUUGGAUGUACAUGGGACGGAGGGAGUAUUUCAUGUAGGUCAAGCCUGUGCAGCCAAAUGUGCACACUCAGAGGUAAGACUAAAAGAGACUACUGAGACCGCGUGGUAGCAAUUUUGUCAGCAACUCCAUGAUAUCUCCAAGUAGGAGGGAUUUUUAGCUGUUCUUGUGAUGAUUUCUGUGCGGCAAGACUCUGGAUGUGAUGACGCCCGUGACUGAAAAACUGCGGCUUGCACACUAUGUGAUGAUCGGUUUGGAAUGCAGUGCGCCGCUUGCUAA